ACUCCUACGGGAGGCAGCAGUGGGGAAUCUUGGACAAUGGGGGCAACCCUGAUCCAGCGAUGCCGCGUGAGUGAAGAAGGUUUUCGGAUCGUAAAGCUCUUUAGGUUGGGAAGAAAGCUAUUAGUUUAAGAGAUGAAUAGUUUGACGGUACCAACAGAAUAAGCACCGGCAAACUCUGUGCCAGCAGCCGCGGUAAUACAGAGGGUGCGAGCGUUAAUCGGAUUUACUGGGCGUAAAGGGCGCGUAGGCGGUUGUGUGAGUGUGGUGUGAAAGCCCCGGGCUUAACCUGGGACGUGCAUUGCAAACGACACAACUGGAGUAGAUGAGAGGGUGAUGGAAUUUCCGGUGUAGCGGUGAAAUGCGUAGAGAUCGGAAGGAACGUCAAUGGCGAAGGCAGUCACCUGGCAUCAUACUGACGCUGAGGCGCGAAAGCGUGGGUAGCGAACAGGAUUAGAUACCCUGUAGGCUCUG
rnacentral:rRNA from 1 species